rnacentral:lncRNA from 1 species
ACCCAUGUGUUCAUCUCUUCUCCCCACCCCCCACCCCCGGCAGCUCCAGGGCCCAAAGAACAAUGCUUCUCGUCGACAUCCCCUGGAAAGCAGUUCUGAGCACAAGAUAAUGGCAGCAGGAGGGAUGCACAAUAUCCGCGGCAUUGGAAAACCUGCUGUGCAGUUGUCCAGAGUGAGGCUUCUGCAAGUCCAGCCUUCCUCAGGUCCCAGUGAGGCAUCCUCUCUUUCUGUUGCUUCCCAUCAAAGUGGCAUCUCCAAGAAAAUAAGCCAGCCCAGUCAGUACCCCCCACGCUUGAACUAUGUCACGGUGAAUGGGACAAACUCUCCUGGCAAAGAUGGGAAGAACUGGCGAUGUUAAGCUCUGAAAGGCACAGAGAAGUUGAGAUGCUCCAGGGAGGUGCAUUUGAUGGGCCAGUCAGGACACUGUGGCUAAAAGCAUUGGAAGGAAAUAGCUAACUUGAACAGAAGGCCUGCAAGCUUGCCUGGUGGGUUGCAGUGUUGCUGCCAAGAGGAUUUUCUGGCCACAAAAAACUUUUAAUCUCCAGGACUCUAGGUUCCCCCAAAUUGAAAUGAGUAGUUGUCUCGAUGGAUAUACAGAAGGCUGCCACCAGAUAUAUCCAGUGCUGUAAUACCAAGAUAGAUGUGGAAGGUUGGUUCUUGUGCAAGCACAACUCUUUAGUUUUUAAACUAUAUGUUAGAGGAGGACACAGUGCCACAGCAUUGGUGUAACCUGGCAAUAAGAUUUGUUGUACUUUUGCAUCAUUCCAAGGCAAAUAAUUUCAAUAUAUUUAACUAGCACCUUUCUGCUAUGACCUUCAGAGGAAAAGGUUUGUGGACCUUUGAAAACACACUAUGUCUGCCUGUGGCCAGGAUUCUCUACCAAGGGGCCUGUUGUGUUGUCAAUCAAGCACCAUCCUUAAUUUCAUGACUGGGAUAUACUUAACCUUUGGGGUUACAAGGACUUUUAGAUGAUCUUGUUAACUGGCCUGGAUUAAAGGAAACUCUUUUUCCAAAACAAUUCACUAUCGCUUUUUUCAGCAAGUACAUUAAAAAAAUGUGAUGGAAUCCCAAAUGUUGCCUUUUGUAUCUGUCUGUAAGUAAAGUGAGACAGCAAACAAUAUCCAAUACCAGCUCCAGAGUAUUUCCAGAAUCCUUCCAGUCUUAUAGUUUUUAUUGGCGAGGGCUCCCUUCUUGCAAUAUGCGUGAUGUUUCAUAUUAUGCCAUCACAAAGGUCUGCUUACAACAAUCUUGCACAGGUUUGGAUAUACAUAAUCCCUGUCUAGAUUGUUUUCUACCUAAUUUUGAUGAUUGUAGAUUUCCCCACGGGAUCCAGCUGCUUUUGUCAUUCCAACUUUCCCAUUUUAUUUAUUUAUUUAUUUUAAAAAUCUGACUUCAUUUUUUCCCCAAUUGGGUCUGUUUACCUUUCUCUGUUAGCUAUGAUGGUAUUUAGGUUCUGUCACCAAGUUCACUGGGUACUACCAGUCAUUUAGUCACUAGACACGCUGGCUGUGCUAAAGCAAGAUUACAGUGGAAACAUGGAAUUUAAGAAGCGCAAACACAGGGAAACUCAACAUAGUAAAAAUUGAACAGCUCAACUACACAUUGAUGUCUUACAUAUCAGCGAAUUCAAAUAGAGUGGAAUUGGAUAAAGACACAAAAGAUGAAGACAUCAAGAAGGAAUAAAAAAAUAAAAUGUGAAGAUUGACAAGAAGAGACAAGUAGUAUUACAACUAUACAAAUAAAGACAUUAAAAACAGACACAGAAAACAAAGUCAUCCAAGAAAUCUUCCAACUCUCAAAUUCGCAUGCAGAAGGAAGUCAAUGAACAGCAGCAACUGGUUCAAAUAAGAUCAAAGAUGGAACUUCUGAAAUUCUGCAUACUAAGGUUGUCAGCAUCCAACACAUCUUAUAAGACUCAAAUCCAACCACCCUUCGUGCAGUAGUCAAAUUUUAUGCUCUCACGGUGUUAAUAAGGCAAAGCUAAUUAAAGAAAUAAAGACUUCUAUUUUCUUCAACAUCUUAUUCA